ensembl:lncRNA
CAGCUCUUUUCUUAGUAGCUGUGGUACUGUGCUGCACAUGGAGACCUUCACCACCUCUAUAGCUUGUGUGCCAGACUGCAGCCAGCACAUCCCCACGUCAGGAUUUAGCAGCUGAGUUACACAGAGCUCCUUCUGCAAGAUCUGUGUGGGUCUGUGCUGCUCGAGUUGCUUUGCUCAUCCUUACUGCUGGUUUGUUACAGAAGAGGAAUUGGAAAACCGACAUCAGUUGUAAAAGCAGUAAAACAGCUCAUUCAGGCUCCAAGAGCCAGCAGAAAUGCUUGCUCCUGUCCGCUCCGAAGGACUCAGAAUACAAGGAGGAGACAAGGGCAGGAGAGCUGCAUGGAGAACCAGGAGCGGAUACAGCACCAGUGAGGAGGAGAUGGAGAGACACCCACCAGUGUCGCUGCCCUGCGCUGAUCUCCAUCCACGUGGAAGCCCCGUGCAGAGCAGAGCUGAGCAGCGCUCCGUGCCCCACAUGCAGUGCAGCUCUUGCUGUGUGACCUGUGGAUAGCGCAGGCCAUGCCGGAGGGCGGCUGUUGGGUCCGUGUUCAUCUUGUACGAGUUCAGCAGAGGGUCAGUGCUUUUAUUUACUGCGGCACCCAAACACUGCUGGGAACCGGAAUCAGAGAAUCACCGAAUGGCGAGUUGGAAGGGACCUCUAAAAGCCAUCAGUUCUCACUCCCUGCACUGAACUGGGGCACCCACAGCUCCAUCAGUGCUCAGAGC